rnacentral:rRNA from 1 species
UAAUACAUGCAAGUCGAACGCGUCUCCGUUAAUGAUUUUAGGUGCUUGCACUUGAAAGAUUUAACAUUGAGACGAGUGGCGAACUGGUGAGUAACACGUGGGUAACCUGCCCUUGAAGUAGGGGAUAACACUUGGAAACAGGUGCUAAUACCGUAUAACAACCAAAACCACCUGGUUUUGGUUUAAAAGACGGCUUCGGCUGUCACUUUAGGAUGGACCCGCGGCGUAUUAGCUUGUUGGUAAGGUAACGGCUUACCAAGGCGAUGAUACGUAGCCGACCUGAGAGGGUAAUCGGCCACAUUGGGACUGAGACACGGCCCAAACUCCUACGGGAGGCAGCAGUAGGGAAUCUUCCACAAUGGACGAAAGUCUGAUGGAGCAACGCCGCGUGAGUGAUGAAGGGUUUCGGCUCGUAAAACUCUGUUGUUGGAGAAGAACAGGUGUCAGAGUAACUGUUGACAUCUUGACGGUAUCCAACCAGAAAGCCACGGCUAACUACGUGCCAGCAGCCGCGGUAAUACGUAGGUGGCAAGCGUUGUCCGGAUUUAUUGGGCGUAAAGCGAGCGCAGGCGGUUUUUUAGGUCUGAUGUGAAAGCCUUCGGCUUAACCGGAGAAGUGCAUCGGAAACCGGGAGACUUGAGUGCAGAAGAGGACAGUGGAACUCCAUGUGUAGCGGUGAAAUGCGUAGAUAUAUGGAAGAACACCAGUGGCGAAGGCGGCUGUCUGGUCUGUAACUGACGCUGAG